AUUGAACGCUGGCGGCAUGCCUAACACAUGCAAGUCGAACGGUAACGCGAAGAGCUUGCUCUUUGGCGACGAGUGGCGGACGGGUGAGUAAUACUUAGGAAUCUACCCAGUAGUGGGGGACAACUCGGGGAAACUCGAGCUAAUACCGCAUACGCCCCAAGGGGGAAAGCGGGGGAUCUUCGGACCUCGCGCUAUUGGAGCGGCCGAUGCCGGAUUAGCUAGUUGGUGAGGUAAAGGCUCACCAAGGCGACGAUCCGUAGCUGGUCUGAGAGGACGACCAGCCACACUGGAACUGAGACACGGUCCAGACUCCUACGGGAGGCAG
rnacentral:rRNA from 1 species